rnacentral:lncRNA from 1 species
GUCCGCUGUCUUUCCUUCGGCUUUAGAGGGAUGAGUAGUUCUUUUCCUGGAAAAGUACCAACCAAUUUUUGAAUUUAGCAUUGUGCGCUUUAUCAAUUGGUCUUUUCCCUCAUACUUCGAGGGUCUUCCCCUCGAGCUGAGCUAUUGAGAAUAAAUAAGUUGAUUCAAUCCUUUUGGAUUGAUCCACUUAACCACUGGUUUUUGGUUCCAGUGGCAAAUGAACAGUUUCCCAUACCAUUUGUGUUUUACCACCCGGUAUGGAGCCAUCUUAUGUUUCGUCGGCUGCUCUUUGCCUGAGUGUGUGGGACCCACUCAUAAGGUUUGUUGCACCCGGCUAAGCUCCCUCCCGGUAGGGCUAGAGCGACAGCAAAGAAAUGGUCUUCUUAGGUUUGGCAAUUUUACUACCUCCUAUCGAAGAGCCGUCCAUCUACUUACUGCCUGCGACCGCCUUCUUGUCGCCCGCCUUUUUCUCUCCCCUCUUAGUGAACCCACUUUCUUUAGUAAAGCGGUUUUGCAUCCGUUCACUUCUUGACUUUCCAUGGGUUUCUUAGAGAGCGGGUGGUUCUCGGUUCCCCACAUUUUUCUACCCCUUCUGUUCUGAGACGUGACUUUUCGUCAUCCCUCCUUUAAAUAAGAUCCCUCACUUAUAGCUCGACGGGCCCGCACGUGGACGGGGCAUUCAAAUUCUUUUUAUAGUGGGAUCGUAACAUCCUCUUAGUUUUUUUGACAUUGGACAAACACGUGUUCCUCAACCCUAGGUAGGGCGUGACUAGGACAUACCUAGCCACUCGAGCCAGACUAUUGUCUACCUGAAUAGCUUUUCGUUUGCCAUUAACUGAUCACCAAUGUUGCGUAACAGUCACUCAAAUACAGUUUUAGAGGAGCACCGUCCUUUCUUAUCUUGUGACCUUGAAUUGGUUAGGUGAUCAAGCUUUGGAUUCAGGGUUCAGUAGCACCUCGAGCUGAAUCUAUAUCGGUCGUUAUGGGUAAUCGUUUGCAGCCUUAGGGCUUUUGGUACUUGGAAUACACCAUGUAUAAGAAAACCUUAUUCAAGGGGGAGGGUGUGAGUAGGUGGUUGGAUUACUGUGAAGGUCUCUGCGAGCUUGAGGGCAGUGAAGACUAUUGUCUCCACCACUAAAAACGGGUAAUACUCGCUCAAAGUGAUGAAAUCUGUCGAGGAAACAUAAGAAGUUUCCUGUGUAGUGAUCUCUGUUCAUGCGUAUCGUGAUCACAGGCAUAGGCUGUGGUUGGUUCAUCGAAAAAGAUGAGCCGCAGUCAGGACAAUCGUACUGGUUGCCGUCCUUGAAGGGACCGAUAGCUAUACCGGAACCCCAACAUGUUGGAUGUGAGCAAGAGAAUGGGAAAUGAGACUAACUGUGUUGACUAGUCCACUGCCGAUCAAAUCAACUGAUCAGUUAGGAACUCUCCCAUUCCAUUUGCAUAUCACUUUAAGUUUUUGUCAAAGCUUUCCAUACCUGUUCCGGGCAGCAAGAGGUUAGCAGAUGGGGCCCCUACUCUGUGAGGGAGAAAUCGCGCACACGCAAGGGAGGAAAUCGCCCGCGCGCGCACGUGCAUAUAUAGUACUGCUCCAUUAUAUAGUUUAGUACUGCUCAAUCCAGUCAUGAGAUUGGAGCAUAAAUCUAAUUAGAUUUUUGCAUCUACUCCAAAAGGAAGUGGAAUAAGACCAGCAUUAUGAACUAUUGUUCACUGCAAACCGUAUGUGUACUACUCACUUCCAAUACAAGUAGAAGUAGACUUACUUGAUUUGAUCACAUGAGGGAUCAAAGAGAAAAGGCUAUUGCACUCCAAAAAGGAGGCCUAUUUGGCCGAUUUAGGAGACCAGACGUAUGAUCCUCCACACGCCUACUCCAAGUCCGUGUUUUGAGCGCAUUUGACUAUGAAAUCAGGCCUCUGCGCCUGGGUCAUCUUCACCCAAACAUGCAUACCAUGGAAAAGCCAUCUUGAUAUUAAGGGGAAUUCCUCCUAACAUCGGAAACUUUCUGUUGACCCUAGCUUUGCACCAAGGCACUUUUCCUAUCUUUUCGCGUUAAGGCGGAGCAGUCAGGUAACGAACUGGAACUGGAAACCGACUAACGUUACUUUUCCUUUGCUACUAAAAAGACAAAACAAGGGAAGGACAAAAGGUUUCCCCCGAACCCCCUUCCCGAAGGAGUAGAAGGGAAAAGACUAGACCUAUUCAAUAGAUCAAGUCUAGCUUUCCCUACUAUGUCAAAGGAAAGGGACAAAACAGAAAGCUACCGAUGCAGCUGAUCGGUCUCCUCAAUCGUUCCCUCGAUCGGUCACUCCUCGUCAACCUUGUUAAAGGAAUUUCAACUAAACAACAGCACUAAAGGAAAGGCUCUCUCCGUUAUAAACUAUUGUACUCCCUAACCUACCUUCCGGUUGAUCUGUACUCUUCACUAUGGUUUCAAGUACUCACUCCAUCGAGCUAGUCACGCCUCUCAGAUUCACUCCUCGAGGCUAGGAACAUUCAUGCGGCACCGGGUCGAUACGGACUAAAGUCCAUGUCUCCCACAAAGGAUUGUUCAUGGAACUACUAUCGAAAUUAUUCAGACCAUAUUCCCAUGUGUCAUUCUUUUGUUCAUUGCUAUACCAUCAUUUGGUCUUGCGUCGACAAUACAAAUAAUGGCAUUUGUUGUCUUAUUCGGAGUUCAAGGAAUAGCCUUUCAUCUUGGGAAUGAGAAUGUCGCGGAUCUCAAUGUUCUCGUCAUCACCAAUGCUCCUAACGAGGGUGACUUUCCCAUAGACCAACCUCCCAUUGGCGGACUACCAGACCUCCAGCAGGAAAUGGCGCACGCCGCCCAUCCCGAAGACAUAAUUGCGGAGUUGACUUCCAAGGUUGAAAGAAUAUUUCACGAAGUAGGCACUCCUCUUCCUUUAGAGGAAGGUGAAUCUGCGUGAUCGUUCACUGAAAAUCAUGUAUUGUGGAAUAGUGAGGGAGGAGAUACUCUUCAACAAAUCUUCUCCGAUUAUACGGAAGCCAGGGACGCAAGCGAAUUCGUCGCAAUAGCCACCAAUCUGGCAAAACGGUUUCGCCGCGCCGAGCUCGGUGAACCGGAUUCUCCCGACCCCGAUGCGCCUUUGGAAGAGCAGGAGGCUCAUUCCACGGGAUCCCCUGAAAGCACAAAAGCAAAUGAUGGGCCGAACGAGGCAGGCCUGCCUUCUUCGCGGAAGCGUAAAAGGUGGGAUGAUGAUUCGGGGGUCCGAAGAUGAUGAUUCAGGGGGCCCCGGGGAAUCUCCAGAUCCAGUGGAAAUCGUUUACGAAGGGGAUGCACAAGGGUACAUCUAGGAGGGGAAUGAGGUUGGCCGCCAACUUUGCCUGCCUUUCUAUCUGAGUUCUUCCCUCUUGAUGCUUUCGAACGACUCCUAAAUUUCACAAAAUCCUUUUUUUCUUAUUUGAAAUCCAAAUCGAAAUGCCUCAACUUGAUAAAUUAACUUAUUUCUCACAAUUCUUCUGGUUAUGUCUUCUCCUCUUUACUUUUUAUAUUCUCUUAUUUAAUAAUAAUAAUGGAAUACUUGGAAUUAGUAGAAUUCUCAAACUACAGAACCAACUGCUUUCGCUCCGGGGGGCGAGAUCCGGAGCAAGGACCCUAAGAAUCUGGAAGAUAUCUCGAGAAAAGGUUUUAGCACCGGUCUCUCAUAUAUGUACUCCAGUUUAUCCGAAGUAUCCCAAUGGUGUAAGACCGUCGACUAUUUGGGAAAAAGGAGGAAAAUCACUCUGAUCUCUGAUUUCGGAGAAAUAAGUGGCUCACGAGGAAUGGAGAGACAAAUUCUCUAUUUGAUCUCGAAGUCCUCAUAUAACACUUCUUCCAGUCGGAUCACUUGUUGGAAAAACAUAAUGCUCACACAUGUUCCACACGGGCAAGGAAGCAUAAUAUCAUGAAAGUCGUCUGAUAAUCUUUCUAUAGGUUCCCCGAAGAGAAUGGAAAAAUCACAAAAACACUUUCUAUAUGUUCUGUUAUUUUGAGAUUCGAAGAAGCAAGCAAGUUUUUCAUAUAGCUGUUUCCUGUGUAGUGAUCUCUGUUCGUGGAGAUCAUGAGGCCCCUGAUACCCUGUGGUACGGGGGGGGGUAUACCGGACCAGGUAACCAGAAGAUAAGGCCACUCGGCAAGACUAGACUAGUUUAACACGGCUAUCUAGUGGAACACUAUAUAUAUAGGACUUGUAGAGCUUGAAAAAGCUUGUUUUGGUCUUUUUUCUCUUUUCUGGGCACUGAACUUCAUAGACAGACUUACCAAUUGAUGAGCCAAAGUAGCAAAUUUCUUCUUCCUGGGAGGGGCGGACUCUACGUUGGUAGAUCAAACUUUCAUUUCUUCCUUCCAUUUCAUCUGUUCAAGUAGUCUCCUUUUCAAGUAGAUACGCUUUGAUACUAGACUGGUGUGCUAAAAGGCGUGAAUGCAAAUAAAAAACAUCCCCUGGAUAAGCCUCACGGCCGGGACUUAAUAGAAGGGACAUUUGGCGAUAAGCUUGUGCCUGUUUGGAGAGAUCAUCAUAAAUUAUAAAGUAUGCCGUUCGCGGUCAAGUGAGAGACAAUUGGUUUCAACUGUGUCGUCGGGGUUGUAUUCUUAGACCUGCCAGGUGGGAGGAACCACCGUUCUGCUCUUGGUCUUGGAGCAUCAGUGUCAUCAGUUCACCCAAGAUCAGCAGGACAAAUAACUACUAGGUUUGUGCCAGAAAAGCGUCUUGCGUGACGGGGAAAGAGUGGAAAAAGAAAGAGAUUCAUCAGCCAUGGAAUCUGACAGGUACCGGUAUUGAACAGAGGGGGCUGUUCACAAAGCAUCCCAUGGAUGGUAAUGGUGCUUCCUGAGCUGCUGUUCCUACUCCUUUGGCUGGUGCCAAAUCAGGUGACUUUGAAGUUGAAGCUUGCCCGCAGAACGAUGUAACCAUGCUGGUAGUACUAUGAUUGCCUUAGAGCGCAGAUGUCUCUGUCCCUAGGAACGUGAUGCUUAGGUGCGAGGUGAAACACAAGUAGGAGAUCG